CAGUUUAAAAGAGUUUUGAGUUUGUGCUAUGUGAACAGUAAAGAAACGGCGCCGUAUCAUCAAGGGUAAAAUGGUGGUUUGUUAAAAAAAAGCUUUAGAAUUCGGUUAAAAUAGCCUUUGAACCGUUUUCCGAAGCAGAUUGAAAAAGAAACCGAUUUAGCGUAGAAUUUUUAUUAUGUAUCUUGUGACCCUGGGGUCUUAAGAUAAAUAAUAGAGGUAUAGAAAGUAUAGGUAGAAAAAAAAAAAAAACAUUUUUA
rnacentral:sRNA from 1 species